AUCCUUAUUAAUACAAAACCAAGAAUUAUCAAUUGCCUGUAUCUUUGUUUUGCUCGAACAAGAUUACAUUUAUGAUACGAAAAUAUCGAAUAUCACAAUGCACGUGAAACUCAACAACUCGAAUAUACAGCAGCUCCUUUGCGAUCACUCUGUGUCUGUGUCUGUAGUGAAUUUUCAUAGUUGUGUUUUAUGUGCAUCCAAAGUCUCUGCGAAAGAGAUAAUAGACAUGAAAGCAAUAUAUAAAAUGGAGUUAAUCACGCAGUUCGGAAACUGAAAUACAACGAGGAGAAAAGACGAAUUAUAGGAAAUAAACUAACGGAUCAUUAAUUACAUAUAACCUUAUCGAUCGAUAAACAUAAAUCCUAUAUUAUGUAAUGUUAUGUUAUCUAGAAUAUGAUUAUUUCCGAAUUCUUUUUACGUGUAAAUGGUAGUUUCCAAUAAUUUAAGCAGUAUUUUAUAGUUAA